GAUGAACGCUGGCGGCGUGCCUAACACAUGCAAGUCGAGCGAGGCCCAUCCUUCGGGGUGGUGCCCUAGCGGCGAACGGGUGAGUAACACGUGGGCAACCUGCCCUCAGCUCUGGGAUAACUCCAAGAAAUUGGUGCUAAUACCGGAUGUGACCGCUGACCUCAUGGUCUGGUGGUGGAAAGAUUCAUCGGCUGAGGAUGGGCCCGCGGCCUAUCAGCUUGUUGGUGGGGUAAUGGCCCACCAAGGCGACGACGGGUAGCCGGCCUGAGAGGGUGACCGGCCACACUGGGACUGAGACACGGCCCAGACUCCUACGGGAGGCAGCAGUGGGGAAUAUUGCGCAAUGGGCGAAAGCCUGACGCAGCGACGCCGCGUGAGGGAUGACGGCCUUCGGGUUGUAAACCUCUUUCAGUAGGGACGAAGCGAAAGUGACGGUACCUACAGAAGAAGCACCGGCCAACUACGUG
rnacentral:rRNA from 1 species